GGUUCUUGAUUUUAAUUAUUGAUCUCAUUAGUUUCAGCAGCUUUACAUGAUAAUGAAAGAAUUUUAUCUUAAAGAUCUUUUGAUGAAUUUUGAUUUUAGGUAGUAACAGCACAGACUGCACUUCCUGAGGAAAAACCAGCUGAAGAAGUGAAGGUUUCAGAGAUUGUAACAGAAGAGGCAGCACCAGCAGUAGAGCCAGUUGCUGAAGAGCCCAAGGAAGCAGAGCCAGUUGCAGUAUCUGAAGAACCAAAGGAGGCUGAUGAUGCUCCGGCUGAAGUAGCGGUUGAAACUAAAGAGGUUGUAGAAGUUGAAGAGGCCAAGACUGUGACAGAAGAGCCAACAGUAGAGAAAACUGAAGAAGAAGAAGAGACUCCUAAGGAAGAAACACCAGAGCCUGUGGUUGUUAAGGAGACUCCUAAAGAGGAACCAACAGCAGAGACCGUUGUUGAGGAGGCUCCCAAAGAGACAACCGAGGCUGCAACUGAAGCAGAAGCACCGGCACCGGAAUCCGCACCAGCAUCAGCAUCGGAAACUCCAGCUGAAGAAGAAGUUCCAAAGGAGGAAGAAGGUGAUGAAAAGAAAUCUGAAGCAGAAGUUGAAGCUGAGAAGACUGAGUAAU
rnacentral:lncRNA from 1 species